rnacentral:lncRNA from 1 species
CUUUCUUCUUCUUGCUUCUCCCUUUUUUUUUUUCUUUCUUUCUUGGUUGUGGUACUAGGGAGAAGAUGAAGAUGAAUCAUCUAGCUUGCGACACCUUAGAGCUGAUGAAAAUGAAUUCCAUCGGCCGGGUUGCGACACCUGUUAGAUGAUAAAGAUGAAUACUCUCAGCUACGACAUAUAGGAGAAGAUGAAGAUGAAUCCUCUCGGCUAUGACAUAUGGGAGGAGAUGAAGAUGAAUUCUCUUCAGUUGCAGCACUUGGAAGAAGAUGAAGAUGAAUCCUCUCAGCUAUGACAUAUGAGAGAAGAUGAAGAUGAAUCCUCUCGGCUAUGACAUAUGAAAGGAGAUGAAUCCUCUCGACUAUGACAUAUGGGAGGAGAUGAAGAUGAAUCCUAUUCAAUUGCAGCACCUGGGAGAAGAUGAAGAUAAAUCCUCUCGGCUAUGACAUAUGGGAGAAGAUGAAGAUGAAUCCUCUCGGCUAUGACAUAUGAGAGAAGAUGAAUCAUUUUCGAUUGCAGCACCUGGGAGAAGAUGAAGAUGAAUCUUCUCAGCUAUGACAUAUAAGAGAAGAUGAAGAUGAAUCCUCUUUGAUUGUAGCACCUAGAAGAAGAUGAAGGUGAAUCCUUCCGGCUACGACAUAUGAAAGAAGAUGAAGAUGAAUUCUCUUUGGUUGCAACUCCUAAAAGAAGAUGAAGAUGAAUCUUCUUUGGUUGCGACACCUGAAAGAAGAUGAAGGUGAAUCUUCUCGGUUGCGACUCUUAGGAGAAGAUGAAGAUGAAUCUUCUCAGUUGCAAUUCCAAUGAGAAGAUGAAGAUGAAUCCUCUCGGUUGUAGCACCUAGAAGAAGAUGAAGGUGAAUCCUUCCGGCUACGUCAUAUGAAAGAAGAUGAAGAUGAAUCCUCUUUGGUUGCAGCACCUGGAAGAAGAUAAAGAUGAAUCUUCUUUGGUUGCGACACCUGAAAGAAGAUGAAGGUGAAUCUUCUCAGUUGCAAUUCUUAGGAGAAGAUGAAGAUGAAUCCUCUCGGUUGCAACACAUAGGAGAAGACAAAGAUGAAUCCUCUCACUUGCGACACCUUAGAGCAGAUGAAGAUGAAUCAUCUUCGGUUGUUACACCUGAGAGAAGAUGAAAAUGAAUCUUCUUGAUUGCGACUCCUAGGUGAAGAUGAAGAUGAAUCAUCUCGGUUGUAACACAUGGAGGAAGACAAAGAUGAAUCCUCUCACUUGCGACACCUUAGAGCAGAUGAAGAUGAAUCAUCUUCGAUUGCAAAACUUAGAAGAAGAUGAAGAUGAAUCCUCUUCGGUUGCAAUAAGCUGAAGAUGAAGCAGAGGUUAAAGCUUUAGCAUUGCAUGCAUCUUCUUCAAGAGGCAGAAACGAUGUUACACUGUCGUUUUCAUCUUGGAGAGGCGAAGGCAGAGCUGCCCGAUCGUCGUCCUAUCAAAGUUGUACCAUCGUUAUCCUCUCAAAGAGCUGGAGCUGCAGCAUCGAUGAAGCCUUCAAACUUGAAUAUAAGGAAUCAUCAAUGAAACUUUUAUGCUUGAAUUUGAGGGAUCAUUAAUGAUGCCUUUGAGCUUGAUUUUGAGAUUCUUUUUUUUUUUCUUUUUACAUGCACUCAACUUGUACAUAGUCUUUGCACGGAGUUUGUACAUCUUCAAUUUAUUUCAUCUCAUUGUUACUAAAGAUGAACAUCUUGAAUUUAGGGAUUUGCCCCCAAUUUGUUAUGAUUCCUUAGUAGAGAUGAACACCCUUUGAAGAAAAGAAUUAACUCACGACGUAGUUCAAGGUUUUUUUUUUUUUUUUUAUAAUGGUGGACUGAACUUAAAGUUUUCUUUAAGUUGCC